rnacentral:pre_miRNA from 1 species
UUGGUUUAAAUUAUCGUGGAUCUACACUUUAAAAAUUAAACCCACACAAAAUGGUGGGACAUACAUUGAUCUUAUCUAA